CCUUGCACAUGAUGAGCUGGUUUCACUUUCAUCCUGUCCUGAGGGUAAUUGGCUGUCUGAAAACCCUUCUGAAGCAUGUGAAACACCCGGGUCAGGCUGCUGAUGGUUUGAGAGCCAGAGUCUGCAGCCUCAGUCAGACUCCAAUCCCCUCCUUCCCUGCUAAUUCUCCCUCUGGGGUUCAUUUGGAGUGGUUUAUAAUGAGGGUUCAUUGUAAUCUCCAGUUCUGACCCAGGUCUCCUCCUGAACACCAGUGCUGUGUCUCCUCCAUCAUCCCAAGGGUUUGCUUUUGGUCAGAUGGGGCAGAACCAGAGCAUGAAAUGCUGUGAAAGUUGAUGUUUUUAACACUGUCGAGUUCGGGACUAGAACUGCACUCAAGGAGCACUGUGGUGACAGGGAGGGAGCAUAGGAAUUCUGGAGGAGAUUUUCUGCGCAGCAACAUGAGCAACUCCUGUCUUUCAGUGCCAUCUAGUGCCGAUGCAUGGAAGAGAGAGUGUAAUUAAUCGAAUUUCUCCUCAUCAGAUCGAUUUGCUGUAAUUCAUGCAUUUUGGAAAUUGAUAGAUGGUAUUGGUAGAAGCUCUACUGAAAAGGAGUAGCCCACCCCACAUCUGAGCCAAAUCACAAUUUCAUUUACAAAGUACAUCUGCAAGGCUUGGAGUGACAGGUCUUUCUAUUUAUCUACAGAAAGAAAGGAACAAGGUAAUUUUUGAAACAAGGAAGAGACAAAAAAUGAAGGGUUAUCCAGAGACCACCUGACUUCAGGUUGUUGUCUUUUAUCCCUGCAUGCCUUUCUUUACAGUGAUGGCUAGUUAUUAUUCUCAUCAGCAGUGAAAUAGUUCUUAACCUUGAAACACCCUUGGCUGUCUUUUACUGUAGCAUAAACUUGAGAGAUACACAUGAGGGAGUUACAUCAUCUCCCCAUAUUACUGCAAAGAAAGAACUUAAUGGCCAGUACAGACAACUCCCCCUUGAAGACUUCAGAUUCUAAAUUAUGAUGCAAAUUGUGGGUAGCAAAUACAACAAAAGGAAUAUGAAUACAGAAUUCUAUACAACAGUCUUGUGUGUAUUCAGAUCCUUGUUUAUAUGUAACAAAUCUUACCUUUCCCACCUGGCCAUGAAGGAACUGGAAAGUCACUAUUCUCUGAAUUAGUCCGGUUAAAGAGGAAACAAAACAAGGUGCUCAUCUGCUUUCAUUCUAGUAAAAAUCUAAUUUAAUUAGAGCAAUUUCAGAUCACAAUUCUGACAGCUGUGUUUAUCACACUUUCUUCAAAGGAUAGAAAUUAGCAUUGACUGACAUUAGCAUCAAAGCUUAUUUAUUCACCCGCCCACAUCCUAGCAGCCCUUCUGAGUUUGUCUGUUUAUUUAGCACUUUAAUAACACCACAGUAAAUAAGAUUUCAUUU